rnacentral:tRNA from 1 species
GGAGAGGUGGCCGAGUGGUUGAAGGCGCUCCCCUGCUAAGGGAGUAUACGGGCAACCGUAUCGAGGGUUCGAAUCCCUCUCUCUCCGCCA